rnacentral:rRNA from 1 species
UACGGAGGGGGCUAGCGUUAUUCGGAAUUAUUGGGCGUAAAGGGCGCGUAGGCGGCCCGGUAAGUCAAAGGUGAAAUCCCUCGGCUCAACUGAGGAACUGCCUUUGAAACUGUCGGGCUUGAGGCCGGGAGGGGGUAGCGGAAUUCCCAGUGUAGCGGUGAAAUGCGUAGAUAUUGGGAGGAACACCAGUGGCGAAGGCGGCUACCUGGACCGGUUCUGACGCUGAUGCGCGAAAGCUAGGGAGCAAACGGG